rnacentral:rRNA from 1 species
AACGAACGCUGGCGGCAUGCCUAACACAUGCAAGUCGAACAAGACCUUCGGGUCUAGUGGCGCACGGGUGCGUAACGCGUGGGAACCUGCCCUUAGGUUCGGAAUAACUCCCCGAAAGGGGUGCUAAUACCGGAUAAUGUCUUCGGACCAAAGAUUUAUCGCCUUUGGAUGGGCCCGCGUUGGAUUAGCUAGUUGGUAGGGUAAAAGCCUACCAAGGCGACGAUCCAUAGCUGGUCUGAGAGGAUGAUCAGCCACACUGGGACUGAGACACGGCCCAGACUCCUACGGGAGGCAGCAGUGGGGAAUAUUGGACAAUGGGCGAAAGCCUGAUCCAGCAAUGCCGCGUGAGUGAUGAAGGCCUUAGGGUUGUAAAGCUCUUUUACCCGGGAUGAUAAUGACAGUACCGGGAGAAUAAGCGCCGGCUAACUCCGUG